rnacentral:rRNA from 1 species
GCCAACCAUGCUAAUCGGAGAUGCAUCAGACCUCGGAAGCCAAGCAGAUUUAUGCCUGGUUUACACUUUGAUCGGAGACUUCCUGGGAAUACGAGGUGCUGUAGGUU